CUCGAACCCUUCAAAGCUGCUCAUAUCUGUCGUCGGUCUGCCUAUCACUCGCAAAGAGCCGACCCAUUGCGAUCGAUACCUUCUUAGAGCGCACUCUUUUGUCUCUCUUGAGUUUCGCCUCCAACUUUGGCACUCAUCUGAAAUCCGAUGUUCAAAACCAAACCAGCGAGAGCGACAAAUUGUUUCUCAUAUUAACCAAAAAAAUCAAUAAAAACGAUGAGAGAAGCCUUAUUUCGAUGUGUAUUGCUAUUUGUUUGUUACGUUAUUCAAUUAACUUCGGCUACUGUUGUUCUGAAACCCUUCUUCUUUUCCUUUCCAGACCUUCCCGCCAAAUUUGCUGUGGGACUCAAUAGGUCUGGCAUAUGUGGAGCUUUGCAAGUGGCGAAUCCGCUAGAUGCUUGUUCUUCGCUGCACAAUCGUUUUGGGUUCAACGAAACUGAGCAAGUGAGAAUGGCUUUGAUUGUAAGAGGUGAAUGCCCUUUUGAGAACAAAAUUCGAAAUGCUCAAAAUGGGGGAUUUCGUGCUGCAAUUGUCUAUGAUGAUAGAGAUAAGAGGAAUUUGGUUUACAUGAUGAUGAACCCUGAGGGCAUCAAGGUGCAUGCUGUUUUUGUUUCUAAGCUAGCUGGUGAAAUUUUAAAGGAGCAUGCUCGAGGGAAAGAAUCUGAAUGUUGCAUUUACCUGUCUCAUAGUGAUACAGCGUGGACUGUUUUAGCAAUAUCGUUUCUUUCUCUUCUUGUUAUAUUAGCUUUCCUCAUAAUAGCCUUUGUCAUGCCCAGACACUGGCCAAAUUGGCAGCGAACACAUUUUCACUGCAAAAUUGUGGAUGUGCGGAUGCUGGAAGGCCUUCCCCGCUUCACAUUCCACUCCACUCAUUUGAAUUGUAAUCACAGUGGGGAAACUUGUGCUAUUUGCCUUGAGGAUUACAAAGAUGGGGAAAUUCUUAAAGUUCUUCCUUGCCAACAUGAAUUUCAUUCAAGCUGUGUGGAUUCAUGGCUGACUAAGUGGGGGACAUUCUGCCCAGUGUGCAAGUUUGAUAUGAAAAGCAAAUUUGUAUAUUCUGAGGUGAGUGCACAAAGAUCAUUCUUAGAUUUUAGAAUGGACAUGGCAUGGAUUUUGUAUGUUCCUUUAUUUAGUUGUGUUGUUAAUUAUUGUUAUGGUGGCACUUGUUCAAUGCAUGGCUUGUGAUGAAUGGUCAAUCUUAUUUGUUUAAAGGGUCAUGAUUUCUGGUAUGCACAUAUGAAAACUCAUCUUUUUUCUUAACUCAUCUAGCAAAUUGCAAAACCAAGAGUAAAGUAGCUCUUUGGUGGUUAAGUGAUGCAUAUGCAUUGUCUUGUUGAAGUAUUAGAAAAUAUAAACCAUGUUUUAAUUUGACGUGAUUAGCAUCAUAAGCUGCUCCAACUUUCUGAUUCCUUGCAGCUCUGGAUCUCAUCCUCCUGUAACUGACUUGCGGGUUAGUUCUGGCCCAUAGGCAUUAAAGCGAGUUCAGUAAUAGAUGUUUUUGCCCAAUCUUUGAUGUGAAGAAUGGAAACAUUUCCAUUGCCCAAUAACUUCACAUCAUACCAAGUGUGUUGUUAUGUACCGGCAGUCAUACGACAAGAAGAAAUGUCUCUGUGUCUGUGUUGACUUUGCAAUGAUGAAAUUUGUUUGAUGUGAGGUUAACCAGGAAAUAAGGACGAAUAUUCCUCAAUAUGUAAGUCAUGCUGUCUUACCAGACCUAUUUUUUACUUGCUUUAAGUAAGACCACAUAAGCAUUUUAUAUGCUAGUCGUUUCCAUGAAGUCUGCUAAAAGUAUAUCUUUAUGCGACUGUGAAGCUGCUUUCACAUUUUGCUUCAACUUCUCAAUGUUUAUUGAAGUUUAUUAUUUUAGGAAAACAUUGGGCUAUGUGGCCAUUAAGGGAAAUUUGGAGCUUCAACACUAUGACAUGAAGUGAAGCUGAUGCAUGUUGAGAAAUACGGGGCAUAGUUUGGUUCACUUCACUGAUUGUCUGUCAAGUAUUUUUGUCGAGGAAAGGCAGUCACUUCAUUGUUUAUAAGUGCAUAAAGGGAUGGUUGGAUUAGGUACAUAUAAGUGUACAGCCGGCUGGAGUUGACUUAGUGUUAUAGAAGUUUUAGAUCUUUACUUCUUGAAAACCUUCCUUCCCUCAUUCUAGCCACUUUUUGUAUAUAGAUUCUCAGUCUGUCACAAGAAGGGCAUGCUGAGCUCAUUAUAGAAACAUGAAAUGUGAGGCAUUAGAAAGAAUAUAUUUAAUAAUAAUUCAUAUUAUUGUAGAUUUAACUCAAAUUACUAGAGCAUAUACAUUGCUACCAUCUUUUUUUUUGUAGCUGCCUGUCAUGACUCAUGAGGCCCUUAUACCAGUGACUGGCACCUAGUUGAUAGAAUGAGUAGAGGGAAAAUUUUAUUUGCACGUCCAAGAGAUGGGGUGAAAUAAGGUGCAGGUUUUAAACAGUAACUUUGGAUGUUACACCAUGUUUCCCAACAUUUAUCUGGUGACAGAGAGGAGCAAGAAUAAGAGACCAAUAUUUUAUAUGAACAAAGUAAAACCUGCCUUUACCUGACAAAAUUGAUUUGCCAAUGAGCAAACUAAUGUUUAUUCUUGAUUAAUACUUGUUAUAUUCUUGAUGCAGAUCAAGAGGGGAAUCUGGCUUCAGAAUCAGUAAAUGCAAUAGGUGAUUUGACUAGCUUUUUAAUCUGUAUGUCAUUUUUCCUUAAGAAAUGAAUCUGCAUCCACUUCUCACAAAACAUAGAAGUGGAGCAGUUCAUUUUUUUUUUAUGGAGUAGAUAAGAGUUGGGUAAAAAUAACUUUACAUUCCUUCUGGAGAAAGAAAGACUUGGACUCUUAGAAAAUUAUGCUGAGAAGUGGUUAUAUUGAAAAAUUGUCAAUAAUUGACUAAUUCAAAUUGAUUAGUUGUUGUAAUUGAUUGCUCUAUGUUAUGUAACAAUUGGAAGGCAUCAUUUGAACCUUCAAUCCAUAUAACAAUUCAUGACAUACUCCUGUCCAUUUUCCUUGUUUGCAGAUCUUCUGUUUAUCUGGGAGGUCCUUUUGAACAGCAUUUUAAGUGUGUCUAACUCGUGUCUACGAAGGUUUAACGGGGGAUCUGAUAUGGUGUUGCUGCUGAAUGUUUUGAUAUUCACAGUAAUCUCUACAGUAGGAGCAUUUCCACAAAAGCUUCUUUUCUGAUUCAAGCUAGCGGUGUUCAUUUUUGGGUCUCAUAUUGUAAGUUGUAGAUAGUUCUUAAGCACAUUUGCUGGCUUGGUCCAGAAUUAACUGUAAAAAAUUUCAGUUGUAUACACUUCAUAGUUCUGUAUUAUGUAGUAUAUAUUUUUAUUCAAUGGCUGAGCUACAUAUCACAAGUUCCUCAUUCCGUAAAUUCUCCAUAACCAUAUAAGCACUGUAUCCAUGAUCAUCAUCCGAGUGCCAUAUGCACAAAUAUAAGUUGAAUUUGGG
rnacentral:misc_RNA from 1 species